UCUCAUCUUAGCUCAUUGGGUAGAGCAUGAGACUCUAAAAUCUCAGGGUUGUGGGUUUAAGCCACACAAAGAU